rfam:Camelus ferus unplaced genomic scaffold scaffold1749, whole genome shotgun sequence.
GAGGGUAUAGCUCAGUGGUAAAACACAUGCCUAGCAUGCAUGAGAUCCUGGGUUCAAUCUCUAGUACCACCA